rnacentral:rRNA from 1 species
GCUAAAUAUUGGCGAGAGACCGAUAGUGAACAAGUACCGUGAGGGAAAGAUGAAAAGAACUUUGGAAAGAGAGUUAAAAAGUACGUGAAAUUGUUGAAAGGGAAACGCUUGAAGUCAGUCACAUUGGCCAGGGAUCAACUUGCUUAAGUGUACUUCCUGGCUGAUGGGCCAACAUCAGCUUUGACUGUCAGAAAAGGGUAGGGGGAAUGUGGCACCCUUCUUGGGUGUGUUAUAGCCCUCUGUCAUAUAUGGCCGUUGGGGCUGAGGAAUGCAGCGCGCCACAAGGCCGGGCUUCGACCACGUUCGCGCUUAGGAUGUUGGCAUAAUGGCUUUAAUCGACCCGUCUUGAAACACGGACCAAGGAGUCUAACAUGCCUGCGAGUGUUUGGGUGGAAAACCCGAGUGCAUAAUGAAAGUGAAAGUUGAGAUCCCUGUCAUGGGGUGCAUCGACGCCCGGACCUGAGCUUUCUAGCAAUGGCUCUGCGGUAUAGCAUGUAUGUUGGGACCCGAAAGAUGGUGAACUAUGCCUGAAUAGGGCGAAGCCAGAGGAAACUCUGGUGGAGGCUCGUAGCGAUUCUGAC